rnacentral:rRNA from 1 species
GACGAACGCUGGCGGCGUGCCUAAUACAUGCAAGUAGAACGCUGAAGGAGUAGCUUGCUCCUCUGGAUGAGUGGCGAACGGGUGAGUAAGGCGUAUGUAACCUGCCUUGUAGUGGGGGAUAACUAUUGGAAACGAUAGUUAAUACAGCAUAACAGUAGAUGUUCCAUGACAUUUGCUUAAUAGGUGCACUUGCAUCACUACCAGAUGGACCUGCGUUGUUUUAGCUAGUUGGUGGGGUAACGGCCCACCAAGGCGAAGACACAUAUCCGACCUGAGGAGGUGGACCGCCAAACUGGGAAUGGAAACAGGCCCAAAAUCCUUCGGGAGGGAACAGUAGGGGAACAUUGGACAUGGACGGAAGGCUUGACGAGGAACGACGCGGGAGUGAAGGAGGUUUUCGGAUCGUAAAGGUCUGUUGUUAGGGAAGAAAGAGCGUGAGGGUGAAAAGUUCACGCUGUGACGGUAUCUAAACAGAAAGCGACGGCUAACUACGUG